CGGUACUUGUUUUAGCAGCCAGGAAACUGAGGCACUGGGGGCCCUACAGGACGGCUUGGCUGGGCAGUGGGGUUCUCCCACCAACAGCCUCAGGGAAUUUGCCUCAAGUUUCUUCCAAACAGACCUGCUUCUCCCACCCUCCAUUCCCUGCUUCCCCCUGUUCCCCGGCCUCCAGGCCAUCCCCUGCCCCCUUCGAGCCCUCCCCCGUCCCUUCCCCUCUCACUGCCUGCUCCCUGCCGUCAAGCCUGUGCUGUUACUGUCCCCUCUGCCUGGGGCCCCGCCGCGUGCUGGUCUCGUGGGGCUCCCCUCAGAAGGGACCUGCUCAGGGUGCUGUGACCAGGGACCCACGGCAGGGGCCCCCACCCAGAUGAUGUGCGUGUCUUGUAGCUGCUUUCGAGUUGUUGUUUUUUCCCAGCAUUCAGGUCUCUCCAGAAUGAUCAAUACUCCUUUUAUUACCUCUGAUGCUCCAUCUGGACGUGCUGAGGGUGUCCCUCCACCCCAGGAGACCUGGGCUUCAGGAGGACGGGGACCUGGCUCCCCACUUGCUGUGGCUGAAAGGGGCACCGCCCCACAGCCCAUGGGAGGAAAGGCCAGGCAAGGAGCGGAACGUCUGGGCCACUGGGCGCAGGCCCCUGCUGCGGCGACAUGGCCUGCUUCCUGGUACCUCUCGGAGCCGGCCGUGGUCUCCACCCGCGGGAACGGGAGCAGGAUGCCGGACUGUCAGUUCCCGUCUGUUGAGCGCUCACCCCUGCUGGCACCUUACACACCUGUCGCAUCUAGUCUUGGGACCACCCUCAGAGUAAGGGAUGAGCGUUUCCCCUAGUUCACAAAAUAGGCAACUGGGCACAGAGAGGUAAGGUAUCUCGCCCAAGGGCACACAGGCAGAAAGUGGUGGGGCGGGACUCCACUCCUGACCAGCUGGACCCCCUGAGCAAGAGGUCUUAGCCACACACCUGGAGAGCGUGGGACUGACGGAAGCUCAGGAUGUUCUCAAAAGAACUUUGGGGAAGAGCUUUGCUUAUGACCCAAGAGCAUGAAGCACAAGCAGCUUUAGGCAAAUCAAAAUAGGAAAAUGUAUCUUCCCUCCAAAGGUAAAUGCCUUACAGAAGCAUGCAUAGAGGAGCAGGUGUCCAAUAUCUGAUUUUCUUUUUAGUCCACUCCCAGUCUCUGGGGAGAAGUAGGACAGGCUGGGC
rnacentral:lncRNA from 1 species